GCGUACACGGUGGAUGCCCUGGCAGUCAGAGGCGAUGAAGGACGUGCUAAUCUGCGAAAAGCGCCGGCGAGGUGAUAUGAACCUUUGACCCGGCGAUGUCCGAAUGGGGAAACCCAGUGUGUUUCGAUACACUAUCGUUAACUGAAUACAUAGGUUAACGAGGCGAACCGGGGGAACUGAAACAUCUAAGUACCCCGAGGAAAAGAAAUCAACCGAGAUUCCCCCAGUAGCGGCGAGCGAACGGGGAGCAGCCCG
rnacentral:rRNA from 1 species